UACGUAGGGUGCGAGCGUUACUCGGAAUUACUGGGCGUAAAGGGCGCGUAGGCGGCCGCCUAAGUCAGACGUGAAAUCCCUCGGCUCAACCGGGGAACUGCGUCUGAUACUGGGUGGCUUGAAUCCGGGAGAGGGAUGCGGAAUUCCAGGUGUAGCGGUGAAAUGCGUAGAUAUCUGGAGGAACACCGGUGGCGAAGGCGGCAUCCUGGACCGGCAUUGACGCUGAGGCGCGAAAGCCAGGGGAGCAAACGGG
rnacentral:rRNA from 1 species